AUGAAGAACGCAGCGAAAUGCGAUAAGUAAUGUGAAUUGCAGAAUUCAGUGAACCAUCGAAUCUUUGAACGCACAUUGCGCCCGGCAGUAAUCUGCCGGGCAUGCCUGUCCGAGCGUCAUUUCUGCCCUCGAGCGAGUCCAGCAUCUAGGUGCUGGGCCCGCCCGGCGUUGGGGCACUACGGGAAGCCCUGUGCUGUCCCCCGUAGGCCCCGAAAUGAAGUGGCGGUCCUGCCGCGGCGCCCCCUGCGUAGUAUAACAGCUCGCUUCGGGACCCGGUGGAGGCCUGCCGUCAAACCUUACUCUCUAAGUUUGACCUCGGAUCAGGUAGGGUUACCCGCUGAACUUAAGCAUAUCAAUAAGCGGAGGA
rnacentral:misc_RNA from 1 species